rnacentral:rRNA from 1 species
ACGCUGGCGGCAGGCCUAACACAUGCAAGUCGAGCGCGAAAGCACUUCGGUGUGAGUAGAGCGGCGGACGGGUGAGUAACGCGUAAGAAUCUACCUAGUAGUGGGGGACAACUCGAGGAAACUCGAGCUAAUACCGCAUACGCCCUACGGGGGAAAGCGGGGGACCUUCGGGCCUCGCGCUAUUAGAUGAGCUUGCGUUGGAUUAGCUUGUUGGUGAGGUAAUGGCUCACCAAGGCUACGAUCCAUAGCUGGUCUGAGAGGAUGAUCAGCCACACCGGGACUGAGACACGGCCCGGACUCCUACGGGAGGCAGCAGUGGGGAAUAUUGCGCAAUGGGCGAAAGCCUGACGCAGCCAUGCCGCGUGUGUGAAGAAGGCCUUAGGGUUGUAAAGCACUUUCAAUUGGGAGGAAAAGUUAACGACUAAUACUCGUUAGCCUUGACGUUACCUUAGAAGAAGCACCGGC